rnacentral:rRNA from 1 species
AGUGAAUAGAUACCCAGGUAGUCCACGCCGUAAACGAUGGAUGCUAGCCGUUGGUGGGUUUACUCAUCAGUGGCGCAGCUAACGCAUUAAGCAUCCCGCCUGGGGAGUACGGUCGCAAGAUUAAAACUCAAAGGAAUUGACGGGGCCGCACAAGCGGUGGAGCAUGUGGUUCAAUUCGAAGCAACGCGCAGAACCUUACCAACCCUUGACAUGUCCAGUAUGGGCUUCAGAGAUGAGACUCUUCAGUUCGGCUGGCUGGAACACAGGUGCUGCAUGGCUGUCGUCAGCUCGUGUCGUGAGAUGUUGGGUUAAGUCCCGCAACGAGCGCAACCCUCGCCUUAGUUGCCAUCAUUUAGUUGGGCACUCUAAGGGGACUGCCGGUGAUAAGCCGCGAGGAAGGUGGGGUAUGACGUCAAGUCCUCAUGGCCC